GAAUUUUCCGCAAUGGGCGAAAGCCUGACGGAGCAAUACCGCGUGAGGGAAGAAUGCCCGUGGGUUGUAAACCUCUUUUCUUAAGGAAGAAGAUCUGACGGUACUUAAGGAAUAAGCAUCGGCUAACUCCGUGCCAGCAGCCGCGGUAAUACGGAGGAUGCAAGCGUUAUCCGGAAUCAUUGGGCGUAAAGCGUCUGUAGGUGGCUUAGAAAGUCUGCUGUUAAAUCUUAGGGCUCAACCCUGAAUCAGCAGUGGAAACUUCUAGGCUAGAGUAUGGUAGGGGCAGAGGGAAUUCCCAGUGUAGCGGUGAAAUGCGUU
rnacentral:rRNA from 1 species